GAAAUCUUAUCCACUCCCUUCUCUAACCCUUCUCUCUAUCCAGCCGCAAAAAAGAAGAAGAAGAACAAGAAGAGAUAGGAUCCGCAGACGGUGGUAAAGAAAAAUAUACAGAGAAAUUGUACCGAUUUGAUAAAGAUGGAAUUCAAUAGAAAGAAAGAGAUACUUAAAGCUGAACAAGGCUCAUUAACGCGGGAAUACUUCAAACGAGGAAAACCCGAACAAUUCAAGGAUAUAUUGGAGGAAGGGUCUUCGCCACAGAUUGAUGAGUACUAUGCUGAUAUGAUAGCGGAAUGCAUUGCUAGAGAAUAUUUUAGUUAUCAAGGAAUAAUUGAGACUAAGCAAAGAUAAAAAUAUGAGUAUUUUGUUUUGGCAACACAGUAUUAUAACAGAGCUUCGAGGAUUGACAUACAUGAGCCUUCAACUUGGGUUGGUAAAGGCCAUCUUUUACUGGCCAAGUGUGAAACAGAACAAACAUCUUCAACGUUUAAGAUUGUGCUGGAAGAAAAUCCUAAGAAUGUGCCUGCCCUGCUUGGUCAGUUCAGCCUUAACCGUUACACAGAGUCUUUGGACUUAUAUAAGAGGGCAUUGCAAGUGUUUCCUAAUGGUCCUGCAGCUGUAAGGCUUGGAAUAGGUUUCUGUCGCUACAAACUUGGACAGUUUGAAAAAGCUUGCAAACUUUGAAGCUUCUUAAAAAUAAACAGACUGAAAAAGGAUUUGGUUAUGAGACUAUCUAAGCCAUUCAAGAUCUUUGCUAAUCAUCAAGAUGGGGAUACGUUGGAGUCUGAUCUUGAUUCCAGCUGUGCACUGAUGAAUUCAGAUACUUGGAUUGCAUCUGGCUUUGACGAGAAUCAUUUGGGUGGGUCACCGUCCUUCUCAAAUAGUUCUGCUUAGCAAUUUCUUCUUCUGUCUGCUAACAUCAAGUCAUGUGUCUGGACGAAAAACUCAUGCUAGAACUGCAGAGCAUUGGCCUACAUCCGGAAAGAAUGGGCAAGGGGGAAGAAAGUUAAGUUAAGCAAGAUAGAUAAAGCCCUUUUGAAGGUAGGAUAAACAUUUGGAUGACUUUAAUAUUAGAUUAUUUUAUGUUGCUGAAGUAAACAUAAUGGGGGAUUUUUUGCGGGGAGACUGAGCAAAUUGCAAUGAACAAACUUGUUGGGAUGGCAUAUAAAAAGAGAAUGAUAGUACGAAGGGGGGUCAUUCAGCAGCCCACAUCAAAUGUGUACAAUUAAGCUUGAUCCGCAGCUGGAGAUACAAGGAAAUAGCCGGUGUUAAAGUGCUUCGGCUCAGAAUUGUAGCUGCAAUUAGGUAUACAAUUUCCUAGUUACAGAUUAUGUUAACAUUGUAUCAAUUUACUGCUGCCACGUAGAACAUUGUAUGUCUAAUUUUGUCGUCUUUAUCAUCUCAGUAGUAAGUUGUGAAACUUGUAAACAUUUCUAUCUUCUACUGUGAUACUUUUAAGUCAAUCAUCCACUAGUGAAUCAUUUUUUUUUUCAAUUCA